rnacentral:rRNA from 1 species
UACAGAGGGUGCGAGCGUUAAUCGGAUUUACUGGGCGUAAAGCGUGCGUAGGUGGUCUUUUAAGUCGGAUGUGAAAUCCCUGAGCUUAACUUAGGAAUUGCAUUCGAUACUGGGAGACUAGAGUAUGGGAGAGGAUGGUAGAAUUCCAGGUGUAGCGGUGAAAUGCGUAGAGAUCUGGAGGAAUACCGAUGGCGAAGGCAGCCAUCUGGCCUAAUACUGACACUGAGGCACGAAAGCAUGGGGAGCAAACAGG